CUUUGCUCGGAAGGAGGCCCUGCAGGGUUCCCCGCGGGGCGCCAGCCCAGUGCUUCAACUGGAUUGCUUAACCUUGGAUUUGCAAGCGUGCUGCCGGAUCACGUGCCUUGUUUCCCGCGAGUAAGUCGCAUCGAAAGGGGUUUGGUCCCAGUUGUGGGAUAAGAAUGGAG